AUUGAACGCUGGCGGCAGGCCUAACACAUGCAAGUCGAGCGAGCGGCGGACGGGUGAGUAAUGUAUGGGGACUGCCCGAUAGAGGGGGAUAACUACUGGAAACGGUGGCUAAUACCGCAUACUAUCGGAUAACCCAUAUGGGAUUAGCUAGUAGGUGGGGUAAAGGCUCACCUAGGCGACGAUCCCUAGCUGGUCUGAGAGGAGGAUGAGCCACAUUGGAACUGAGACACGGCCCAGACUCGUACGGGGUAAGCGGUGGGGAAUAUUGGACAAUGGGGGCAAGCCUAAUGCGGCCAUGCCGCGUGUAUGAGGAAGGCCUUAGGGUGGUAAAGUACUUUCAGCGGGGAGGCGUUACCCUCAGAAGAAGCACCGGCUAACUCCGUGCCAGCAGCCGCGGUAAUUC
rnacentral:rRNA from 1 species